CUUCCUCAUUUCAAUCACAAUAUGGAACACCCUUUUUGUCCUUUAUUCUUCUUUUUCUUCUGCUUAGGUGGCUGAAGGACAACUCUGAUGGCUGCAUCGAAAACUCCCUUCACAUUCUGCUGUGUUUUUGAACUGCAUUCAAUAUAAGCAGGUGCACCAAUCAGCUUCCUCAGUUCCUCUCCCUGAGCUGCAGUAAUGGGUACAGCACCAGGGUGGUCUAUGAAAAACUGCUUAUCAUCCCGAAGAUCAAGCUUUGUUCCUACGAGAACAAUUGGGACCCCUGGUGCAUAAUGUUUCAACUCCGGAAUCCACUUCUUAGAAACAUUUUCAUAACUGGCCUUGCUAAUGAG
rnacentral:misc_RNA from 1 species